rnacentral:rRNA from 1 species
UUGGCGGGCCGCGGUCCUCCGCGGCCGCCCCCCUCCCCGGGGGGGUGGCCAGCGCCCGCCAGAGGACCAUCAAACUCCAGUCAGUAAACGAUGCAGUCUGAAAAACAUUUAAUAAACUAAAACUUUCAACAACGGAUCUCUUGGUUCUGGCAUCGAUGAAGAACGCAGCGAAAUGCGAUAAGUAAUGUGAAUUGCAGAAUUCAGUGAAUCAUCGAAUCUUUGAACGCACAUUGCGCCCUUUGGUAUUCCGAAGGGCAUGCCUGUUCGAGCGUCAUUACAACCCUCAAGCUCUGCUUGGUAUUGGGCACCGUCCUUUGCGGGCGCGCCUCAAAGACCUCGGCGGUGGCGUCUUGCCUCAAGCGUAGUAGAACAUACAUCUCGCUUCGGAGCGCAGGGCGUCGCCCGCCGGACGAACCUUCUGAACUUUUCUCAAGGUUGACCUCGGAUCAGGUAGGGAUACCCGCUGAACUUAAGCAUAU